rnacentral:lncRNA from 1 species
GCCGCAGCAUCGGCAUCGCAGACGCGCUCGGGCGGCGGGUCCGAGGCCGGCGUGCGCGGAGGCUGGGCGGGCAGCCCGAGCGGUGGCCGCAGCGCAGGACACUUGAAAUAUACAGAAAAGAACAAAAGAAAUUAAGAAUCGCUAGUGAUCUGAUCACCAAGAGGGAAACACGUUCAGCACGCCCCAGCCUCCCUGGUUUGCUACACCGCGCUCCUAAAAGGCUCCUCCCCAAGUUCCCAGCUGCCAGCUCCCUGCUGAGCAUCAGGAGGACAAUCAGCGCUUCAAGGUGGCGGGGUCCCCUGCCCUGCAGCCAGUGAAGAGCUUCCCUACCCAGGCGCUCAGGAUCCCAGCGAUGGGCAGUCGUGUACUGGGCAGCUGCUCAUGGCCAGUGCUCCUUUGGGCCGGGCUCUGGGCUGCCCAUGGAAGAGCCAGUGACAAACUGGACCAGCAUUGUCCCUGUCUUCGUGGGGUGUCACUUGUUUUCUUUUUUCUUGAUGAUUAUCUGAAGGGAAAAGGGAGGCAAAGAGUGAGGAAGGGCCUGGCCUGAGGGCUCCUACAGUGAGCAGGGUGCCCAGAUUGUGCCCCCAAUCGGCCUCUCCCAGGUCCGAGCCCUUUCCACCACUGGAACUACAGCUGGCGCCUUCCUUGGCAUGCACCUGGCCAGGACUGGCAGGUGAGGGUCGAGGAGACAGGCCUGUGUGCCCUACCUUGAUCACCAAGUUCCCUUUCAAAGCUCGAAA